rnacentral:sRNA from 1 species
GCUGGGAUUACAGGCGUGAGCCACCGCACCUGGCCUGGCGCCGCGCCCGGCCUGGCUGGUUAUUUGUUAAAGCACUGGCUUUGCUGUUCAGUAGAGCCUUGGAUUUGCCGGCUUCUCCCUGCAGCCUCCGGCUCAGUGGGCAGGCACACGUCUCGGUCCCUUCAACAUACACUGAGUGGAGUCUGGUCAGGGUAGUGUCCUAAGUAUGUUUCUUUCAGAAAAUAGCUUGAAGAAAAUGUCAGAGUAACAUUUGUUUCUCCAUUAAAAGCAAUAAACUCUCAAAAGUAGGAUUUCUGGAGUUGAAAAGUAAACUGAAAUGAGAGUAUCACUAGACGAGCUCACAGCAGAAUUGAGCAGGCAGAAGAAUCAGACAACUUGUGAACACAGGUCACCUGAGAUCAUCUCGCUUGAGGAACAGAAAGAAUGAGAGAAAAAAAUGAACGGAAACCUGUGACCCCCUCAAGCACACCGACGCCGCCCCACACAGUGGCAUUCCAGAAGGAGAGAGCAGAAACAGUGGGUGAGAAACAGCCUGACGAUGUCAGUGGAUCAGAAACACGGAUCUUACAUCCAGGGAGCUCGGUGAACUCCAGACAGGUGAACUCGGAGAAGAGCUACGCUUAGACAAGUGAAAAUCAGAAGAUCCGACACUGAGACUCUAGAAUUAGAGAGCAGCGCUCUCCGCGUACAAGGCAUUGUCGAGAUCAGCAGCUCCAUGGUCCCUUCACGGAACUGAGCAUGUGUGGGAGGGGGAGGCCAGUUUCUGGUGAUGAACACACAGUGUCUCCAGGUGGCCGACCAUAGUGUGAGGACUCACCUGCCUGCGACAUCCUGCCCUGCCUGGGCCACCAGAGUAGGAGGGGACAGCCUGGGCGCCACACACAAGGCACUGUCUGGUGCUGAGCUUGGGGAAGUGGUGGGGCUCCGACUGGAGGAAAAUGUCUCUGCUUUGUCGUCGGCCACUACCUCCCCCAACCCGUCCCCUGUGCCUGCCAGGACCUGGCCACACUGCUGGAGCAGAUCGGGUGUCUGAAGUACCUGCAGGUGUUUGAGGAGCAGGACGUGGACCUCCGCAUCUUUCUGACCCUCACUGAGAGCGACCUGAAGGAAAUCGGCAUCACGUGCGUCCAGAAGGGCCGCUCUGGCCCUCAGCCCGGGGUUGGGGCAAACUCCCACUGACGUAAGCGCUCUUGGGAGGCUGAGGCACGUCCUGGUCACAUUCCCCCUGCAGGCUGUUUGGGCCCAAGAGGAAGAUGACGUCCGCCAUUGCCCGCUGGCACAGCAGUGCCCGCCCGCCCGGGGAUGCCCUGGAGCUGGCCUACGCUGACCGGCUGGAGGCUGAGAUGCAGGAGCUCGCCAUCCAGCUGCACAAACGCUGCGAGGAGGUAGAGGCCACGCGGGGCCAGGUGUGCCAGGAGCAGGAGCUGCGCGCCGUGGUGGAGAGCUGCCUGCUGGAGCAGGACCGCGCCCGCGAGGACCUCCAGGCCCGGCUGCAGGAGACGUGGGCCCUGACCCGGGAUGCUGCCCUCAUCCUGGACCAGCUGCGAGCCUGUCAAGCUGAGCUGUCAGCUCGAAUGAGGCGGGACCAGCCCCCUGGUGCAGCCACUCUGGGCCUAGCCCUCCCCCCAGCUGACUCCAAGGGCUGGCAAGCGUCCCUGCAGGCCAUGAGCCUCCCCGAGCUCUCGGGAGCCCUGGAGGACCGUGUCCGUGAGAUGGGGCAAGCACUGUGCUUAGUGACCCAGAGCCUGGAGAAGCUGCAGGUGCUGAACGGGAAGAAGUGGCGGGAGCCCUAGCCCGCAAGCCGAAUCUGACGUUGGGUGAUUGGUCCACCCUGAAGCUGUGUGCCAGGGAGUGAGGAGGACAGUGAGCAGGCAGCUGCCAUGUGCAGCCCAGGCCCAGUGGGGGCCAGAGGAUCAGGCCCCGGGAGCAGCCGGCAGACAGAGGCAAGAUGGGGGCUGCGGCCCUGGCUCGGCAGCUCGGGCCAGCACUGAGGCAGGAUGAGGGCCUCACCCAGAACCUCGUGGUGAGGCCCAGAGUUCACGGGCUGCCCUGGCCCAGACCAGGCAGGGCUCUCGGGGGAAAGUGUAUCCCUAUACACGCACAGGUGCCAGCUGAGGUGUGACCUUAGGAGUGAAGACUGGGGCACCUGGAAAAUGCCAUUUGUUGGAAAAUAAAAUUGAAGAACAGCU